rnacentral:rRNA from 1 species
GUACUGAGACACGGACCCGACUCCUACGGGAGGCAGCAGUAAGGAAUAUUGGUCAAUGGGCGAAAGCCUGAACCAGCCAUGCCGCGUGAAGGAUGAAGGCGUUAUGCGUUGUAAACUUCUUUUGUAUAGGAAGAAUGGUCGGGAUUCAUCCCGAAAGCGACGGUACUAUACGAAUAAGCACCGGCUAACUCCGUGCCAGCAGCCGCGGUAAUACGGAGGGUGCGAGCGUUAUCCGGAAUCACUGGGUUUAAAGGGUACGUAGGCGGUUAAUUAAGUCAGCAGUGAAAGCCUGUCGCUCAACGACGGAUGUGCUGUUGAAACUGGUUAACUUGAAAUGGGUUAGGGUUGGCGGAAUGGGUCAUGUAGCGGUGAAAUGCUUAGAUAUGAC